UCCCUGGUCGUUCAACGGCAGGACACCUGGCUCUGAACCAGGAGAUGGAGGUUCGAGUCCUCCCUGGGGGACCA
rnacentral:tRNA from 1 species